rnacentral:rRNA from 1 species
UACAGAGGUCUCAAGCGUUGUUCGGAUUCAUUGGGCGUAAAGGGUGCGUAGGUGGCGCGCUAAGUCAGGUGUGAAAUUUCGGAGCUUAACUCCGAAACUGCAUUUGAUACUGGCGUGCUUGAGGACUGGAGAGGAGACUGGAAUUCACGGUGUAGCAGUGAAAUGCGUAGAUAUCGUGAGGAAGACCAGUGGCGAAGGCGGGUCUCUGGACAGUUCCUGACACUGAGGCGCGAAGGCCAGGGGAGCAAACGGG